rnacentral:rRNA from 1 species
UACGUAGGGUGCAAGCGUUGUCCGGAAUUAUUGGGCGUAAAGAGCUCGUAGGCGGUCUGUCGCGUCGGCUGUGAAAACCCGAGGCUCAACCUCGGGCCUGCAGUCGAUACGGGCAAACUAGAGUACUGCAGGGGAGACUGGAAUUCCUGGUGUAGCGGUGAAAUGCGCAGAUAUCAGGAGGAACACCGGUGGCGAAGGCGGGUCUCUGGGCAGUAACUGACGCUGGAGGAGCGAAAAGCGUGGGGGAGCGAAACAGG